rnacentral:tRNA from 1 species
GGUUAUGGCUCAGUGGUAAAGCGCUUGCCCCGUACGUGCAAGGCCCUGGGUUCGAUCCUCAGCACCA